CACGUAGGGCGCAAGCGUUGUCCGGAAUUAUUGGGCGUAAAGAGCUCGUAGGCGGUCUGUUGCGUCUGCUGUGAAAACUCGGGGCUUAACCCCGAGCCUGCAGUCGAUACAGGCAGGCUAGAGUUCGGUAGGGGAGACUGGAAUUCCUGGUGUAGCGGUGAAAUGCGCAGAUAUCAGGAGGAACACCGGUGGCGAAGGCGGGUCUCUGGGCCGAUACUGACGCUGAGGAGCGAAAGCGUGGGGAGCGAACAGG
rnacentral:rRNA from 1 species